rnacentral:rRNA from 1 species
AUGAUCGCCAUAGCCGCAUGGUAUCUAUGGUGGGAUAGACGUGUACUGGUUCAUGAGGGAAAGUUUCAAGAUGCGUACCACACAUCCAUGGGGGUCCGGGCUAUCACGGCUAAUUUUGUUAAAGCUUACUCCCCUAAUGCGACUAGUAAACGAGGGGGAUGGAGUAAACCUUCUAUGGGUUUUGUUAAGCUCAAUGUUGAUGCAUCUUUCGACCAUGACCAGCACAGGGGUACUGCGGGGGCUGUCCUUAGAGAUGAUAAAGGACAUUUCAUACUCGGUGGAAACUGGAAUAUUGAUUGGUGUGUGGAUGUUCUGACAGUAGAAGCUACAGCUCUAAGGUUUGGCUUAUAUUUGGCACAAAAGGCAGGAUGCAACCGUCUGAUAAUUAACUCUGAUAAUUUGGAAGUCAUCGACACGAUGAAGAAUGGAGGACAAUUUGCGCGAACGGCGGCGGCAGUUUUCCAUGACUGCUAUUUUUUGGCUUGUGACUUUCCCCUUAUUAGUUUCGAAUAUUACUUUCCUGCAAAAACAAAGUACCUUUGCUUUUCUUGA